AUUGAACGCUGGCGGCAGGCCUAACACAUGCAAGUCGAGCGGAGCGGCGGACGGGUGAGUAAUGCCUAGGAAUCUGCCUGGUAGUGGGGGAUAACGUCCGGAAACGGGCGCUAAUAACGCAUACUAUCAGACGAGCCAAGGGCGGAUUAGCUAGUUGGUGGGGUAAAGGCCUACCAAGGCGCCGAUCCGUACAUGGUAUGAGAGGAUGAUCAGUCACACGGGAACUGAGACACUGUCCAGACUCCACCGGGAGGCAGCAGUGGGGAAUAUUGGGAAAUGGGCAAAAGCCUGAUACAGCCAUGCCGCGUGUGUGAAGGAGGUCUUCGGAUUGUAAAGCACUUUAAGUUGGGAGGCGUUACCAACAGAAUAAGCACCGGCUAACUUCGUGCCAGCCGCCGCGGUAAUUC
rnacentral:rRNA from 1 species